AUCCAGCUGACGAGUCUCAAAUAGGACGAAAUGCGCAUCCUGGCUGGAU
rnacentral:hammerhead_ribozyme from 1 species